UUGUAGGUGAACAUACAGAGAAUGAACGAUAAAACAUACUUUCGAUACUAUACAUCAACCAAACUUGAUCCUAAUAUAACAACUUUUAUACCUUAAGAUAAGCUAAUGAUCCUGAAUCGUUCAUACCUAGAGGAACUCACCUCCUUGAUGUUGUUUGCUUACACAAGGUUCUCCUUGUUAAAUUUUCCUCCAGGUCUGGCUGUUGUGAUGGUUGAAGGGAAAGCAAGGAGGGGGACGAGGAAUGGCAGAGGAGGUUAACAUAUAAGGUUAGGCCAUGCGAAGGAUAACUGGAUAGCAUAACAUGGCUUAAAAACUAUCUACCAUAUAUACCUGUAAGGUGCAGUUCUAUUUCCUUAUUCAAACUAAAGGUUACCUGGGAAUAAAUUAGAAAAUAUGUACAAAAUCAGAACUUACUAAAGACCUAAAUUUUUGUAUUAUUUAAAUAAAUAACUUUUAAUUGCUUGCAUGCCAAGUUUAACUACAGCAAAAACGAAUUCAGGACAUGCACACUGAUCUUUUUACUGCUUAGCUAUUUUUGUAAUAUUACUUAAUUUCAUAUUUUUGUAGUAAUGUACAGUCUACAAAUACUUUGUGCAGUUGUAAUAUAUGAGAGAUCACACAAGUUCGAUGAAUCAUCUCAAUUCCAUAUUUUACAUGAUUUCCCAAUGCCAGAGGUAACCAAUACUAAUACUGGAUGCAUGAAAACAGCUUGCCAUACAUGUUAUUGGUGAACCAACAGUAACAAAUAUUUUUUUAUGAAGUAGCCAAUAUAUAACUGAUGGUGGCAGUACAAUACAUAUUAGGCAGUACAAUUCGUAGGAUGAAUGGUGUCAAGCUCCGGGCAAUAUGUAAAACUGAGAAAGAACGAGAGCUCUAGGUAUGCUGUUAUUGCUCAUCACAUUCCAUAUUGCUCAUCAAAUACAAAAUUGGAAUGUCCAGUAUUCCUUUUUCACGAGAUCUUAACUAUUCCACUCAAUCAUAUAUAUUUAUAGCAUAAAUAUGAUCUGCUAUGAGGUAUGCGCAUUUUGAUACUUGUUAGCACUGUGGUUGUCAAUGGAUGUUUGGCUAUUUAUUUGUAGAUGGAACUAUUGUGGGGUAUGGAAAAUGUUUUUUUAGUUUUUGAGCUAAGUAACUACUACUUUAAUUAAGGUAGUUAUGGAUAAUUAGUUCACACAUAGGAAAUUGAUAUGUUGCAGUGUUUACCAGGCAUGGCGUGGUUUGGCAGGUCGUCACGAAGUCCCCAACGCUAUCACUGGCCGGACCUACGACUAUACUAAGAUGAGUCUUCAUCUCUAAAAGCUUCUGUAAACUAUAUAAUGGGUCUAUUAUUCUAACCAGCAAUGAAUUUAAGUAGCAAUUUCAUUUCUCCAUGGUUAGUUGUAUAAUUGCCUGCCAACACUGACACUAAUUGACAGCCAACCAUGACCAUCAAUUUAAUUUGACUUAUUAAUUUCCAACUAUUUUUCCAUAUAAGGCUCAAUAUAUAUGAAACUAUGAAACUUACAUACGAACAUGACUUGACUGUUGGUUGUGAAUUAUUAAUGGAGAACAUGCAGCCAAUGUUUUUGAAUGAUUUUGCACAUGAAUUAUCUGGUUAUUGUUCACUAUGGGUGCAUGUGUAUUAUUGGGUUUGAGCCUUAGGCAUGCAACAAUGAGAUCUAUUUUUAUUGUCUUGUUAACUACUUAAUCCGAAAUCAUUCAUCAAGUUUGAUCUUAAAUAUUAUAUCACAAUACUUUUGAUACAACAAAAAUUACUUCAACUUGCCAUGUGGAAAAUCCAGUUAGAGCAUAUCCAUGUGUAUGUUUCCUAUGAAUGGUACGGGAUUUACAAACUUAAAAGAUACUACAUAUUUGACAAAUAUUUUUAACCAAAAAUGUUUGAAUUAUUUGUUCUGAUAUGGAUGUUUGACUGAUUGCAAUGAUGAUUGUUCGUAGUUUUUUCGAACUGUGUAAGCAUAGAUUUACAUUUUGUAGACCUGGUGCAACGCACAGGGCUUUUAUUACAUGAAAGGACUUAUUAUCCUGACAGUCAUAAUUUCAAGAUUUUCAUAAGUGUUUGUUUAUUUGUUUGUUGUCUGCCAUGUUAAGAAUUGCAUGCAUGCUUUUAUUGAUAUAAAAUGUGCUUCAGAAAAUCACGUGUUAUGAAUCCAUGCUAUAAUUUUGAAGGUGAACAUACAGAAAAUGCAAGAUAAAACAUACUAAUAUAACAACUAUUACAAUUUUAGAGAAGAUAAAGAUCCAGAAUUGUUCGUACCUAGAGGAACUCGACUUCUAGAUGGUCCUUGCUUACACAAGGUACUCCUUGGGUAAUUUUCCUCCAGGUCUGCUGUUGUGAUGGCCGAACGAACAACAAGGAGGGGGAGGACGGAUGGCAGACAAGGUUAACAUAUAUAGGUAGGACAUGCGGAGAAUAACUGGGUAGCAGAUCAUGGCUGAAUAUAGUUAUACCAUAUAUAACCUUGUUUUCUACCAUAUAUACCAUUGUUGAUGGUGCAGAUCUGUUUCCUUUUUUCCAUCAAAUGCACACCUGUUAAUAAUUAAAUGAACAGAUUUUCAUUGCUUGCAUGCCAAAGUUUAGCUACAACAAAAAUAAAUUCACGGCAUGCACAAUAAUCAUUUUCCUGCUUAGAUACUUUUGUACGAUUUAACAAUUUUUACUAAUACUUCAUUCCAUAUUAUGGUAGUAAUGUACAGUCUCAAUUUACUUUUUGCAGUUGUAAUAUCUGAGAGACCACACAAGUUCGAUGAAUGCUUUCAAUUCGAAUUUCUCCAUGGUUUCCCAAUGCCAAAGGUAACCAAUACUAAUUCUGGAUGCAUGAAAUCAAGUACUUAUUUUAGAGCUGAUGUUGAUCAGUAGGCAUUGACAUGAUAAGUACAUAUAGUUAUUUUUGCCAAAUAUAAUUCAUGACUUUAUGGAUCUUUUGCAAUAUCGUGUAUGGACUUUACUAUUUAGGGCUGCCCGUGCGUUAAUGUGGGAGUUGUAGUAAUUAUACAAGUAUAGUAAGCUAUACUUCUGCUACGUACUGCACAUGGAAUAAAACUUGCAUUCACUGCUAUAAUUCAACAUUUGUUGUGAGCCUAGGACCACAUACAACAACUUAAUAUUGCAUCAAGUUGAGAACUACCUAGAAAGCUAUAAAAUUUUGCAACAAAAAGGCACCAACUCUCUAUCUUCUGCCACAUAGAGGUCCCCAAGACCACCUGAACUUUCAUUCAAAUGGAUGAUAAAUCACUACACAUCAACAUUAGCUCCAACAUAUAUGGUGUACAAACCAAACUGAGACUUGUGAGGGAGACAAAAAGAUCGAGUUUAAUCAUGGUCCCACAUAUUCCUAGUUUUCCUUGCUACCGUUAUUUCGAACCGUGCACACAAGUAUUCAGGAAUUAACUUUCAUAGACAGAGGAAUUAGCAGGAAGACACAGAGGAUUAGUACAGGUUGCACAGUAUAUUCUCUGAAACACAAGAGAAAGCACAACCAGCUUCCUCUUCCCAGCGCCAAAGCCGCCAACCCCUCUGCAUCCUCCGUGAGCAGAGCAGAUCAAAGCCGGCACCAAGACAACACGCCUGCUUCAAGCCAUUAAAGGAAACCACUCUACAUACUCGGCUGCAGUCGUGCCCAUGCACACCAAGGCACCGUAAGCAUACAACAGGCUGGCCGCGCGCGAGGGACAGAGCUACGUGAGGGAGAGGGGCACGGGGAUCUCGGCAGAAUUUUUCGUGAAUGGAGCGUGGCACGAGGGGGGAAUAUUCGUCCCUUCGGCAGAGUAUAGUCCGUCAGUUAAAUGCUACGUGCAAUCAUAACCUCCGUUUUAGGCCUUUAGAUAAUCUGGUGGACCAAAUUAAUCUUGGUACACAUAAUGGGGUGGUCAUAGAAAAGAAAAUGUUCAUUUGGUUAAGAGUAGUAUAGAUAUUAACACAAUUCGAGGCGCAAUGCUGCUGCCGAAGGAUGUAAAUAUCCUGUGCACACACAUGCAUUUGCCUAGUUUAGGAAAAACAUUAAACCCUAGCGACUCAUCUCAUAUAGCGUCAAGCCCUAUUACCCAUGUACAGCUUGCACAGAUGGGGCUAACAGCUCAUUCAUGGCAAACAACAAAAUGAUUCAUUCAGGACGUUGCAACAAAAUCAAUUAAUAAUCCAACAAUAUGGUAAUAAAACCAAACUUCAAUAAUACCAAAACACCAUAAAGUUUGAAUAGUUUGAUAAUACCAAAACAUCCUAAAAUUUGUGAACAUACGUAUAUAGAAGACCCCAUAUAGUAUUCAAAUCGAUGCAAAACAGAUCUGAAUUAUAGAAAAAUAUUAUUGGCAUAUCUGCAUGCAUCAGUCCAUCUUCAAUUGCUUACAACCCUCAGAGCCGCUCUAAUCUCUGGCGGGAUGUUUGCAGCAACUUCAUUGUCUUUGAACAUUAACAUCUGGACCGUAACAUGGUGUCUGAGCUGAAUUGGAUCCUAGGAAAGGCGCAAAAACUCAACCAUUUAAUAAACUGCUUGGAUAAUAAUUAGCAAACAUCAACUCAUAAUUUAAGUACUUACGGUAGUGUUCAUCCAGCCCAUGCUACGUAAACGACCGAUCUGGUGGGCCAUCUCCUGUAGCACAAAGAAGCCGGAGUGUUUGCUGCGUCAAAAAAAUAUUAAACAUUAUAAUGGUCUGCAUCUUAUGUAUGCGAUCAAUUUAGUAGAUUACCGGCGAGCAGAACAGGACAUGGACUCUUCUUCCCAAUCCAUUAUGUGUGUGUUCCAAUCAGCGAUCCUAGUCUGCAACACAGUGUUGAAUUCUUCCUUCAGCAGUGUGAUUUCCUUCCUCAUCAAAAUGUUAUGAGUGCUAUCUUCAGGAUCAAACGUGUUGAAGGAUGGAUCCAUCACGACAACCCUCCUCCUCAGCCGGUUGACUACAAGUAACCCAUACGACGAAUCCGAAAGUUUGAACGGUAGUAGAUACUGUGGCAGGUCGACACAUGUCAAUUGCAAUUAUAAUAAGUAAAAUUAACCUUAAGAAAGAGCGUGUCUUACAAUUAUAGACUUGAACACAUCAUAUUUAGGAAGAGGCUGGACCACAACAUAGUUAAUCAGCAUCGUGAUACGCUCUCCUAGAGUCAUCCAGGAGUACCUCAAGGCCUGUGAUUGAGAAUGAAACUGCAAGUCGAAAUAAUGUUUGCUCCCAACCCAGUUGGUGCCUGCGGUCCUCUCUAAUUCAGCGCUCGCAAGCUUACGUACAACAAGGUUGAAGCAUUCGGGAUGAAGUUUUUUUAUGAAAAAAAGGGUGUCCUGGAUCAUUCGGAGGGUGAUGUCGAUCUGGUACGGCAAGGAGCUUCGUAUCCAUAUUGAUCUGGAAAAAAAAUGCCCAACAACAUUUAGGAAAAGACCUUAAUGGUCAUCUUCUAGUUUAACUUUGUCUAUAGUAACCUGUAAACCGAAUUCAUGACAUUGCAUGAGGUCAGAUUGUCCUCACCUAGAUGUUUCUACACGUAUCGAAUCUAUAAUCUGUUUUCAUGGGCUUUGCAUGACAUAGUUCAUGUAACGUCCAAUCCAACUAAAAAAACGUAGACAUGUACCUAUGAAUAUUUUAGGAUUGCCCAUUUAGCUAACUUUCCUUGCUGUGUAAAAGGGUGUUCAAACAAGAUUGGUAUAUAGCAAAAUAAUGUAUAAUAAGACAACUUACUUUAAUGUAUCUUCGUCUCGAAUGCCCAUGAUACUGUGAAAUAUGUAUUGGAGUGCAUCUUCCACGGCGUGCAUUGGUGGGGGCAAAAGAUCCAUGGGCGUAGGCACAUCCUCCUGGGGACCGGGAACAUCCUCCUGGGCGGCAGGCGCACCCUCUUCGGGUGCGUGCGCAGCGUUCCCAAUGAUCGCCUCCAUUGGAUAGAAAAUUAUUAGUUCUUUAGUUCUCGAUCGGAAAUUGCUGAUGGGAUAUAUGUGAACUUGUGUGGGUGGUUAAAUAGUAGGCAGAUGCAAUUUAUCAUUUUGUUACCGUGACAUCUAAUAAUUUGGAGAGUUGAUAUUCCCUUCCAAAUUAUCAGCGUCGUCUAAAUAAAGCAGUUAUUCAUUUCCAUGUAUACAAUAUUUUUACUUGUGGACGGAUCUGAUCUUAGUCCCAGUAUCAGAUAAUAUAUUCCUGAUUCCAUUAUUUUAGCACACUUGUUUUGUCAGUACAACACAAAGGGAAAUAAAAGAAACUUCCUUUUCCUCCUCCCCGUGGUCGUCUGUAUGUACAAGCAUUAUAUCAUUAUUAGGGUAAUCAUAUCUCUAGAUUUAAUACGAUCUUAUUUUUCUAUCCCAGACAAAUGAAAUAAUGACGCUUUAUUAACUCAUAUUAAUAUAUACACCUAUGGAUUGCAACAGAGUACGUCUGCUAAUAAAUCAGAUAAGAUGUAAGAGAUCCAAACAUGCUUAAAACAAUUUUGUUUCUUUACUAUCUCUUUAAGUUACAAAAUAGUUUUUAUGAUGUGUAAAAUUUUCGCGUAUAAAAAUGCAAUAUAUACAAUCUGUGAUUUCUAUAUUAAAAUAUUAAAGUUGUAACGGUGAAGUAAAAAUGAACUAUUUGUUCACUUGUUUUAUUACUAAAAAAUAAUGCUUUGGCCUUUUAUUUUUCUGUUAUGGUUUACUGUAUAUAAAUUCAUUGUAGUUACCUUUUGAUGUUUUGAUUUGACAUAUUUUAUUAUGAAGCUAAGCUUCUAGACACACAUCUCUUCUGGUUGUUAUGUGUAUGAAUUGACAUUAAGCAUGAAGCUAUUUCGACUGGUAUGUCAUAUUUUCUGCUUUCUUGAACUCGUCGUGCUCAUGGUAGCAUGGGAUUUCCUUGAUACUAAUAUAUCGUAUUACAUAUGCCUGUUUUCAGUGUAAGUGUGUUAAUUUAUCAACAAAACCUUGGUGAAUCUACAAUCAGGGGGAGCCUUGAUGCCUUCUGUGACACCCCCGAUUUGACCGUACACUAAUCAUACACGCAAACGUGUACGAUCAAGAUUAGGGACUCACGGGAAGAUAUCACAAAACAACUCUACAAAUAAAAUAAGUCAUACAAGCAUCAUAUUACAAGCCAUGGGCCUAGAAGGCUCGAAUACAAGAGCUCGAUCAUAGACGAGUCAGCGGAAGCAACAAUAUCUGAGUACAGACAUAAGUUAAACAAGUUUGCCUUAAGAAGGCUAGCACAAACUGGGAUACAGAUCGAAAGAGGCGCAGGCCUCCUGCCUGGGAUCCUCCUAACUACUCCUGGUCGUCGUCAGCGGGCAGCAUGUAGUAGUAGGCACCUCCGGUGUAGUAGGAGUCGUCGUCGACGGUGGUGUCUGGCUCCUGGGCUCCAACAUCUGGUUGCGACAACCAGGAGGAAGGGAAAGGGGGAAAAGGGGGAGAAAGCAACCGUGAGUACUCAUCCAAAGUACUCGCAAGCAAGGAGCUACACUACAUAUGCAAGGGUAUCAAAUGGAAUAAGGGUAUCAUAUGUGGACUGAACUGCAGAAUGCCAGAAUAAUAGGGGGAUAACUAAUCCUUUCGAAGACUACGCUUCUGGUAUCCUCCAUCUUGCAGCAGGAGAAGAGAGUAGAUGGAAGUCCUCCAAGUAGCAUCGCAUAGCAUAAUCCUAACUGAUGAUCCUCCCCUCGUCGCCCUGUGAGAGAGCGAUCACCGAUUGUAUCUGGCACUUGGAAGGGUGUGUUUUAUUAAGUAUCCAGUUCUAGUUGUCAUAAGGUCAAGGUACAACUCCGGGUCGUCCUUUUACCGAGGGACACGGCUAUUCGAAUAGAUAAACUUCCCUGCAGGGGUGCACCACAUACCCCAACACGCUCGAUCCCAUUUGGCCGGACACACUUUCCUGGGUCAUGCCCGGCCUCGGAAGAUCAACACGUCACAGCCCUACCUAGGCACAACAGAGAGGUCAGCACGCCGGUCUAAACCCUAUGGCGCAGGGGUCUGGGCCCAUCGCCCUUUGCACACCUGCAUGUUGCAAACGCGGCCGAAAGCAGACCUAGCCUAGUGGCCUUCCAGUCCAAUCCGGCGCGCGCCACUCAGUCGCUGACGUCACGAAGGCUUCGGCUGAUACCACGACGCCGGGAUACCCAUAACUGCUCCCACGUAGAUGGUUAGUGCGUAUAGACCAAAUGGCCAGACUCAGAUCAAAUACCCAGAUCUCGUUAAGCGUGUUAAGUGUCCGCAAACGCCGAACAGGGCCAGGCCCACCUCUCUCCUAGGUGGUCGGAACCUACCCUGUCGCUCCGCCUCAAGAUCCACUCGCGGGUGCUCCUACGAGCCUACCCGUCUUUAGUCACCACAUGUAUCAUGUAUAAAGUAUAUAGUAUAUACCCGUGAUCACCUCCCGAGUGAUCACGGCCCGAUAGUAUAGCAUGGCAGACGGACAAGAAUGUAGGGCCACUGAUGAUAAACUAGCAUCCUAUACUAAGCAGUAGGAUAGCAGGUAAGGUAUCAACAGUAGUAGCAAGGACAGGCUAUGCAUCAGUAUAGGAUUAACGGGAAGCAAUAACAUGCUACUCUACUCUAAUGCAAGCAGUAUAGAGAAGAGUAGGCGAUAUCUGGUGAUCAAAGGGGGGGCUUGCCUGGUUGCUCUGGCAAGAGAGAGGGGUCGUCAACACCGUAGUCGUACGGGGUAGCAGCGGCGUUGGUCUCGGUGUCUAGAGAGAGAAGAGGGGGAAGAAACAAUAAAUAUAAUGCAAGCAUAUGCAUAGUGAAGCAUGACAUGACAAGUAACGAUGCUAGGCGUGCCCUAACGCGGUAGCAGGUGAUACCGGUGAAGGGGGAUAAAAUCCGGGAAAGUAUCCCCGGUGUUUCGCGUUUUCGGGCACAGGAGCCGGAGGGGGAAAGUUGCGUGUUCGCUAUGCUAGGGAUGCGUGGCGGACGAACGGGCUGCGUAUCCGAGUUCGUCUCGUCGUUCUGAGCAACUUUCAUGUAGAAAGUAUUUUCAUCUGAGCUACGGUUUAUUUUAUAUUAAUUUUAAAAGAUUUAAAUCAUUUUUAGGAUUUAUUUAAUUAAUUUAAUCAACAUUAUCCAAAAUAGUGUCUGCUGACGUCAUCAUGACGUCAGCAUGACGUCAGCAGUUGACUUGGUCAACUGACAUGUGGGUCCCGUUCGUCAUUGACUGAUUAGGCUAAUUAGCAGUUAAUUAAGUUAACUACUGUUUAAUUAAACUAAUUAGUGUUUAAUUAAACUAAUUAGUUAAUUAGGUUAAUCUAAUUAUGAUUAACUAACUUAAUUAAUUCCUUAAUUAAUUAAAUUAUUAUUAUCCAUUUAUUUAUUUUAUAUAUUAUUUUUAGUUCCCUUUUUUUUAUUAAAACGUUCUGGGGGUGGGGCCCCACUGUCAUAGGGCCAGAGGAGGCCUAGCGGGUUUGGGCGUGGGUGCCCGCCCGAACACGCACGGGCGCGGGUGCUCUGGGCGCCGGCGUCGGGCGUGUGGACUGCGGCGAUUCGAGGGAGGCCGGGGCGAGCGGCGGCCGGGUGGUGCAGGAGGCGAGUGGCAGGCCAGCGUGCGGUAGCGGCUGCGGGUGGCCGCGGCCGAACCAGGAGGCGGCGACGCAGGCGGGCGCAGGCAGCUGCCGGCGAGCACGNNNNNNNNNNGGGGGAUAAGGGAGGCGUGGGGGGGCCGGCUGGGCCGUGGGGUGGGCCGGUGGCCGAAUGGGCCGGCCAGUUGGGUCGGCUGGCCCCGGGAGGGGGGGGGCUUCUCUCUUUUCCUUUUUUUGUUUGUUUUAUGUUUUCUUUUAUUAUAUCUUUAUUUCUUUAUUUUAAUUGCAUUUUAAUUUGGUAAAAUAUACACUUAGUAUCUAAUUUAGUAUUUUGACUUAGUCCAUAGUCACAAAAAGUCUAGACCCCCAAAUAACUUAGUUUGACAUUUUAUUAAUUAUAAAAGUUAUCCAAAUAAUCAUUUUUACUACUGUUUUAUUCAUCUCAUAGUAUUUAAACAUUUUAUAAAUGUGUGGUUCUUCCCCAACAAUUAUCUAUGCAAUAUUUGGUUCACUCCGAACAUUUUAGUUUUAAUAUUUGAAAUUUUUUAUUGUUUGCCUAUUUUUGAAUUUGAAUUUGAAUCGGUUUUGAACUAACUCGAGAUUAGCAACUAUAAACGAGGUGACAUGGCAUCGUUAGCAGAG
rnacentral:lncRNA from 1 species